rnacentral:rRNA from 1 species
AAAUAGUUUUUUAUUUUAGAUAUUAAUUUUAUUUUUUUAAUAAAAAUAAUUUUUUUUUUAGUUCUUCUCUAAAAAAAUUAUUUUAAUUAUAGUUUAUUGUACUGUGGGGGAAAUUAUUUUUUUUAUUAUAAGUAUUUAUAAUUUAAGUUACCUUUUGUAUCAGGGUUUAUUAAUUUAUCUUAAUUAUUUAAAAUUCCCGAAAUUAAAAGAUUUAUUUUAUAAUGAUUUUGAUUGUUUCAAAACUCUUUUUUAUUGUAAAAUAGUGGUGACAUACUUUUCAUUUUUAAAUAUCUGGUUUUUUAAUAGUUGAAUUUAAUUCAGCUCUAUCAUUGUCUUUUUAUAAUUUAAUUUAUAAUAGAUAUAAUAUUGUAAUAUUAUAAGGGAUAAGCUUUAUAAUUUAUUUAUAACAUUUAAUAUUGAUGAAUUUUUAUAGGCUUUUAAAUAGCUGUUAUUUAUUUUGUUAUAAUUAAUUUUCUUGUUAAUUUAAUUUGGUUUUGUUUAAAUUUUUAUUAAAAAUAUUUUUAUAAUUUUAUAGGGUAUGCUAUAAUGAUAAAAUCAGUAUUUUUUAAAAUUUAAAAUAUAGGAAUUCGGCAAAUAUUACUUUCGCCUGUUUAACAAAAACAUGUCCUUUCGAUUUUUAUAUAAGGUCUAACCUGCUCAAUGAUUUAUUAAAUAGCCGCGGUAUUUUGACUGUGCAAAGGUAGCAUAAUCAUUUGUCUUUUAAUUGAAGGCUUGUAUGAAUGGUUGGACGAAAAGUGUUCUUUCUUUAUUUUAAGAAAUGAAUUUAAUUUUUUAGUUAAAAAGCUAAAAUUAUUUUAUGGGACGAGAAGACCCUAUAGAACUUAAUUUUUGAAAAAGUAUAUAUUUAUUAGUAUAAAUUUAAUGUAUAUAUUUUUAUUAGAAAUUUUAUUGGGGUGAUAGGAAAAUUUUUAUAACUUUUCUUUAUUAGUUUUUCAUAAAUUCAUGAAUAUCUGAUCCAAAAGUUUUGAUUAAAAGUUUAAGUUACCUUAGGGAUAACAGCGUUAUUUAAUUGGAGAGUUCAUAUCGAUAAUUGAGUUUGCGACCUCGAUGUUGAAUUAAGAUUAGUUUUGGGUGUAAUAGUUCAAUUUACUAGGUCUGUUCGACCUUUAAAUUCUUACAUGAUUUGAGUUCAGACCGGCGUGAGCCAGGUCGGUUUCUAUCUUUAAAUAUUUAUAAUAUCUUAGUACGAAAGGACCAGUUAUUAGAAUUAAUAUUUUGUUAUUUUGAUUAAUUUU